rnacentral:rRNA from 1 species
UAGNNNNNNCUUCGGCAAUGGGGGCAACCCUGACCGAGCAACGCCGCGUGAGUGAAGAAGGUUUUCGGAUCGUAAAGCUCUGUUGUAAGUCAAGAACGAGUGUGAGAGUGGAAAGUUCACACUGUGACGGUAGCUUACCAGAAAGGGACGGCUAACUACGUGCCAGCAGCCGCGGUAAUACGUAGGUCCCGAGCGUUGUCCGGAUUUAUUGGGCGUAAAGCGGGCGCAGGCGGUUUGAUAAGUCUGAAGUUAAAGGCUGUGGCUCAACCAUAGUUCGCUUUGGAAACUGUCAAACUUGAGUGCAGAAGGGGAGAGUGGAAUUCCAUGUGUAGCGGUGAAAUGCGUAGAUAUAUGGAGGAACACCGGUGGCGAAAGCGGCUCUCUGGUCUGUAACUGACGCUGAGGCUCGAAAGCGUGGGGGGCGAACAGGAUUAGAUACCCUGGUAGUCCACGCCGUAAACGAUGAGUGCUAGGUGNUGGAUCCUUUCCGGGAUUCAGUGNCGCANCUAACGCAUUAANCACUCCGCCUGGGGAGUACGACCGCNAGGNUG